rnacentral:rRNA from 1 species
AACAGGAUUAGAUACCCUGGUAGUCCACGCCGUAAACGGUGGGCGCUAGGUGUGGGGACUGGUUCCACGGUUUCCGUGCCGUAGCUAACGCAUUAAGCGCCCCGCCUGGGGAGUACGGCCGCAAGGCUAAAACUCAAAGGAAUUGACGGGGGUCCGCACAAGCGGCGGAGCAUGUGGAUUAAUUCGAUGCAACGCGAAGAACCUUACCUGGGUUUGACAUGCACUGGAUCGCCCUAGAGAUAGGGUUUCCCUUGUGGCUGGUGCACAGGUGGUGCAUGGCUGUCGUCAGCUCGUGUCGUGAGAUGUUGGGUUAAGUCCCGCAACGAGCGCAACCCUUGCCCCAUGUCGCCAGCGGUUCGGCCGGGGACUCGUGGGGGACUGCCGGGGUCAACUCGGAGGAAGGUGGGGAUGACGUCAAGUCAUCAUGCCCCUUAUGCCCAGGGCUUCACACAUGCUACAAUGGCCGGUACAGAGGGUGGCGAGACCGUGAGGUGGAGCGAAUCCCAGAAAGCCGGUCUCAGUUCGGAUCGGGGUCUGCAACUCGACCCCGUGAAGUCGGAGUCGCUAGUAAUCGCAGAUCAGCAAUGCUGCGGUGAAUACGUUCCCGGGCCUUGUACACACCGCCCGUCACGUCAUGAAAGUCGGUAACACCCGAAGCCCAUGGCCCAACCCCCGUGUGGGGGAGGGAGUGGUCGAAGGUGGGACUGGCGAUUGGGACGAAGUCGUAACAAGGUAACC